UACCCAAUCCCGACACGGGGAGGUAGUGACAAUAAAUAACAAUACGGGGCUCUUUCGGGUCUCGUAAUUGGAAUGAGUACAAUUUAAAUCCCUUAACGAGGAACAAUUGGAGGGCAAGUCUGGUGCUAGCAGCCGCGGUAAUUCCAGCUCCAAUAGCGUAUAUUAAAGUUGUUGCAGUUAAAAAGCUCGUAGUUGAAUUUCGGGAUUGACGUGAUGGUCGUGCCUUAAGGGGUAUGAACUGUCGCAGUUGAUUUCUCACCUUCUGGAGAAGCAUGAUGUCCUUAAUUGGGUGUCAUGUGGAACCAGGACCUUUACCUUGAAAAAAUUAGAGUGUUUAAAGCAGGCAUUUUGCUCGAAUACAUUAGCAUGGAAUAAUAGAAUAGGACGGCAUGGUUCUAUUUUGUUGGUUUCUAGGAUCACCGUAAUGAUUAAUAGGGAUAGUUGGGGGCAUUAGUAUUCAAUUGUCAGAGGUGAAAUUCUUGGAUUUAUUGAAGACUAACUACUGCGAAAGCAUUUGCCAAGGAUGUUUUCAUUAAUCAAGAACGAAAGUUAGGGGAUCGAAGACGAUUAGA
rnacentral:rRNA from 1 species